UACAGAGGUCUCAAGCGUUGUUCGGAUUCAUUGGGCGUAAAGGGUGUGUAGGUGGCGCGCUAAGUCGGGUGUGAAAUUUCGGAGCUUAACUCCGAAACUGCAUUCGAUACUGGCGUGCUUGAGGACUGGAGAGGAGACUGGAAUUCAUGGUGUAGCAGUGAAAUGCGUAGAGAUCAUGAGGAAGACCAGUGGCGAAGGCGGAUCUCUGGACAGCUCCUGACGCUGAGGCGCGAAGGCUAGGGGAGCAAACGGG
rnacentral:rRNA from 1 species